rnacentral:lncRNA from 1 species
GUUGUGCCGUUUUAGCCAAAAAGCAUGGAGGUAAUUCAUGGCCAGCCCUACUACUGUAAGGAGCUUGAAGGAGCUGACAUACUGUCAGACACCUUUUACUCUAAUGAAUUGCACACUCCACUACAAACGGCUACUCGCCCAACUGCCUCAGAGGACAGGUAUCAGACAUUAAGACAGUCACUCCAACGAUGUAGGCUUCCAUGGGGCGCUGAAAGGGAAUAUGGAGGGAUGAUACCCAUUUCGCUCCCUGAGGAACACAGGCCGAAAUGUGAACCUCCUAGAGUCAUGGGCAAAGGACAUCAGCAUUAUGGAUUUGGUGGAGAAAUCUGGCCAAGAAAGCUUCCUGUUGAACAAUUUUAUUAUUUGUCACAGAACAAAAAAAGUGACCUCUACGGAAAUGAUUCUUUGCUGCCCAAACCACCUGAUUCAACAGUAGGGGAAAUCUGCUCCCCGUAUCCAAUUGAACACCCCUACCAUACACACAUCUCCCGUGGAGCCAUGUUCCCGACUUUUACAUCACCCAAGGAUCUCUACACUGGCAUUAAAGCCCGAACCCAACAGCCGUUCCCUCCCACGGUGCCAACAAAGCCUUAUGAUACAACAGUUUUGAAGACAAGAGGUAACCCUUACAGAUAUGAACUGCUUGAUUUUCCAAUGGAUUCCAAGAAGAAAGCAUUGGUUUGGCCGGGUCAGCGUGUGUAUUUUGAUCAAGAAAAAUUCCAUCCUGCCUUAAAGCCCACCAGACCCUUGGAAGGACGAAUUGCCCGACUGAUUCAGAACCAACGUCCUCUGGAGGCUAUUCUUGAGCAAAGACCAUCUUCCUGUCCAGAUUGCACCCCUAGAGUUCUGUGUACUUUUCAUACCUUUGUGCCCAGUUCUACGGAAAUGAUGGCUCUGAGUGAUAACAUAACCGCAGAUGUGACACUUAAAAACCAGGAGAUCGAAGAAAAGAUUAAGGAAGAACAAAGCUUGCUAUCUACCUAUGCACUCCCAUCCUGUUACCCAACAAAAGAUCUGGCUAAUACGUGUGACAUAAAACCAUUUCCAAAAAUCACAGAUACUAAAAAGACAGAAGAUUUGUACUGGAGACAGCUGUCACUGAAACCCCAACUUAUGCCUUACUGUAGCCCAGAUCAUUACAUUCCCUAUGAACAUUUAAGUCAGUAUAAUGUGUACCAAAAUCCUGUUAGCCUUAGUAAGCCUGGUAUUUUACAAAGUAAACCAGACUUGAAAACUUUUGAUUUUGAACACUUUUUAAGUAAGCCAGAACAGUUGACCUUGAAUAUGGAGGAGGAUGAAGAAACAAAACCUAUCCUGGGUUGGAUUCCUAGAGCUGGAGUGGCCAAACCUCAAACGGACCUGCUGGAGCUUAAGAACACUUUUUCAAAAACUGGUGCACAAAAACGUUUCCAUAAAUCAGUUCUAGAAGACUAUAAAGACCUCAGGGAUAAAGAGCACUUGGGGAAGAAACACCAAUUCUAUGGCUAUAAUUCCUAUUAUUUCUAUAAUUGA